UCAGAAACUCAAAGGAAUUAGACGGGGCCCGCACAAGCGGAGGAGCAUGUGGUUUAAUUCGAUGAUACGCGAGGAACCUUACCUGGGCUCGAACGUAAGAUGACUGUAGGUGAAAGCUUACAUCUCUUCGGAGCAUUUUACGAGGUGCUGCAUGGUUGUCGUCAGCUCGUGCCGUGAGGUGUCGGGUUAAGUCCCAUAACGAGCGCAACCCCUACCUUUAGUUGCCAUCAGGUAAUGCUGGGGACUCUAAAGGAACUGCCUACGCAAGUAGUGAGGAAGGCGGGGAUGACGUCAAAUCAGCACGGCCCUUACGUCCAGGGCUACACACGUGCUACAAUGGCCGAUACAGAGGGCAGCUACCUGGUGACAGGAUGCAAAUCUCCAAAGUCGGUCUCAGUUCGGAUCGGAGUCUGCAACCCGACUCCGUGAAGUUGGAUUCGCUAGUAAUCGCGCAUCAGCCAUGGCGCGGUGAAUACGUUCCCGGGCCUU
rnacentral:rRNA from 1 species